GUCAGAUUGCUGCGAGGACAUGGAGAAGUCAGUGUGAAGAGGAGCUGCCUGUGAGGAACAUCAAGCAGGGAGCAGCAGAAACAUUUAAAAUCCAGGAUGUUUGAAGAGUGGUAUUCUCUCAGACAGGAGCUCUUUGAAACCAGUUUUACCAUUCUGCAUUUUCAAAGAUAAACUGCAGACAUCAGCAUGUAAUGAAGAAACAUCAACAAGGUCUAAAAAGUAUGAGUAUGCUCACCAGAUCCAGGCUUAUUGCACAGAACCUUCCUGGGCAGGGCUGCAAAGUGGGGACAUCAAAUGUAAUGCAAAGUCUUUACAAGGAAAUAGAUCUAAGGCUCUUCUCAAUUACUUUCCACCCUUCAAAAUAUUUUCAUCAGGAUGGUGAUGAUUAAGCUUUGUUUCCUGAUGUAUCUCCUGCUGUAUACUGAACCAGAAGUCUUUAAUGGACUGUAAAUCUGUGUCUGGAAAGCAGAAUCCUCAUUCUCUUUGCAAUAUAGUGUGAAUAAUUACAUAGAUGAUAACUGCAACAUUCUUGCUACAAAUAAGCAAAUAUAAUAUGAAAUGUGUGUUUUAGCAAUUCAUCCUCCAAAGACUGAGCUCAAGUUUUCCUUAUUAUAAUUUGAAGUACCUCAUAUAUUUUUACAUGCUGUCUACACUACAAAGUCUCAGAAAAUGUUUCUCCAGAAAAACCUGGUGAAAACAGUGGUUUAAUAACUUCAUAUAUGUAACUUUUAAAGCAAUAUAUCUUGCAGAUUAUGCAUCUUAAUUAUGAUCCUGAAUUUGCCAUGAGACA